rnacentral:rRNA from 1 species
ACAAGCGGUGGAGCAUGUGGUUAAUUCGACGCAACGCGAAGAACCUUACCAGGGCUUGACAUCCCCUGACCGCGUAUGAAGACGUUUUCACCCUCGGGUGACAGGGAGACAGGUGGUGCAUGGUUGUCGUCAGCUCGUGUCGUGAGAUGUUGGGUUAAGUCCCGCAACGAGCGCAACCCCUACGUUUAGUUGCUAACGCGUGAAGGCGAGCACUCUAGACGAACUGCCGUUGACAAAACGGAGGAAGGUGGGAUGACGUCAAAUCAUCAUGCCCCUUAUGUUCUGGGCUACACACGUGCUACAAUGGCCGGUACAGACGGACGCAAAGCCGCGAGGUGGAGCAAAUCCUAAAAAGCCGGUCUCAGUUCGGAUUGCAGGCUGCAAUUCGCCUGCAUGAAGUCGGAAUCGCUAGUAAUCGCAGGUCAGCAUACUGCGGUGAAUACGUUCCCGGGCCUU